rnacentral:lncRNA from 1 species
AGAUUUUCUCACUAUAACCAUAACGUCUAGAUCUGUCACUUGGAUGAAGAAGAAAAGGGUCGUGUGAGCUUCCUACUUCUUUCUGUUUCUUUCUCUCUCUAAUUUACUAAAGUUGAAGAAAUGAAACGGUGAAAAAAUGAAGAGAUUGGAGGGGCCAAGUGGAACAUGGUUGGUGGCCGUGGGCCCUACACAAUAAUGGAGGUCGUUCCGACAUGAUAGCUGGUCAUGUCGGUGUGGCCUACGGCUGGCAGUAAUCAUGCUGCCCAGCCGCCCGCACAAGCACCCAUGUCUGUGCGCUGUGCACCUAUAGUGCGUGCAAGGCUAGCACACGGGCCCAUCCUUUUUUUUCUCUUUUUUCUCUUUCU